GCCGGGGUGGUGGAAUUUGGCAGACACGCACGCUUGAGGGGCGUGUGGGGCGACCCGUACGGGUUCGAGUCCCGUCCCCGGCA
rnacentral:tRNA from 1 species